rnacentral:rRNA from 1 species
UACGAAGGGGGCUAGCGUUGCUCGGAAUCACUGGGCGUAAAGGGCGCGUAGGCGGCCGUUCAAGUCGGGGGUGAAAGCCUGUGGCUCAACCACAGAAUUGCCUUCGAUACUGGACGGCUCGAGACCGGAAGAGGUCAGUGGAACUGCGAGUGUAGAGGUGAAAUUCGUAGAUAUUCGCAAGAACACCAGUGGCGAAGGCGGCUGACUGGUCCGGUUCUGACGCUGAGGCGCGAAAGCGUGGGGAGCAAACAGG